UUUACAAUUUCCACUUUCGGAGGUUUCUCUCUCUGGGUGUGUGCGAACAAAUCGUCUAGAACUUUGAGCACUUUACUUCACUCCCCUCUCUUAUCUCAGCGGACCGGGUCGUACGCUUCUAAGCACUUGACCUUGAUAGUGGCGCCGGUGAUAAGCCCGGUUCUCGGUUUCAUCUCGGCUGCGACGCAAAACGAGCUGUCGUUAUGAGCAGUUUGGCCAUAGCUCGAUCAGUACUCAAGUCAACGUUCUCCAGUAAAGAGCAGCACCAGUAAAACAAACUAAAAACCAAAAAUGGCCAAGAUUGCUUUGAUCUUCUUCCUGUUCG
rnacentral:sRNA from 15 species